GACGAACGCUGGCGGCGUGGAUUAGGCAUGCAAGUCGAACGGUAUCAUCCUUUCGGGGGUGAGAGAGUGGCGAACUGGUGAGUAACACGUAGGUUAUCUACCCUCAAGACGGGGACAACCCAGGGAAACUUGGGCUAAUACCGGAUGUGAGCAACUUUUAGUUGUUUGAAAGGUGGCGUAAGCUGUCGCUUGGGGAUGAGCCUGCGUCCUAUUAGUUAGUUGGUGAGGUAACGGCUCACCUAGGCAAUGAUAGGUAGGCGGCCUUAACGGGUGGUCGCCCACACUGGGAUUGAGAUACGGCCCAGACUCCUACGGGAGGCAGCAGUCGAGAAUAGUCUACAAUGGUCGGAAGACUGAUAGUGCGACGCCGCGUGAACGAUGAAUCCCUUCGGGGCGUAAAGUUCUUUUAUAUGUGAGCAGUGCUUCUUAUAUUAACAGUAUGGGGAGAGAGAUAUUAGCAUAUGAAUAAGCAACGGCUAACUCCGUGCCAGCAGCCGCGGUAAAA
rnacentral:rRNA from 1 species